CAGAGCCUCAGCAGAGUGAAGCCACAGUGUACAAGGAGCCUGGGGUCCUCUGCCACUACUUGGAAAUCCACCUGUCAACCAGGAACACAGUCAACAGUUAUGGUGACCAUGAAGGGACCCAGAGUGGACUUCCUUCCUUUGACUGGACUCCAUGAGGAACCGGAGCUUUGGUACCAGCAGCGGCUCCUUGCACCUGUCUGCCUCCUCAGGGGGUGCAGACGAAUUUGGAGCCUCAGCAGAGUGAAGCCACAGUGUACAAGGAGCCUGGGGUCCUCUGCCACUACUUGGAAAUCCACCUGUCAACCAGGAAC